ensembl:lncRNA
AUGUUUGUGGAAUUAUUACAAAUAAACAUGAUUCUGUUUCUUCUCUACAGGAAUAAGGAGACAAAAUUGCCAGUGACAAGACGUCUGUCUGGAGACAGUGAUUCCUCAACAGCCUCCUCUAAGGGAGGCGGCGGCGGAGGAGGUGGAGGAGGAGGACGGUUCUCUCUGGGUGGGGCCUCACGGCGCUCUGGUGACGAGGUAGUCCUGCUUGUCAAUCGCAAGGAGGGGAAGCAUGUGAUUGAGAGACCUGGAGCUGGUGAUCAGAGUCGAUCCCUGCGUCCCUCACCGCCCCGGGCACGCAGCCAAUCACGGGAACGUAGCGCUCUGGCUCCGAUACUCAAACCAAACCCGCCACAGGGAUCCGCCGACGGAUCGCGAACUUCCCGUACCGAGAGGGGCCGAUCCCUUGGAAACGAGGGCCCGAGGCGACUCCACGCUCCACGUUCCCACAGCCAGAGUAAGCUGACUUCCCGUACUCGGCCCAGUGAUGCCAGCCCAGGACCCGCUUCCUGCUUCAGAGACACUCAGCCCCCACCAUCCGACAGACGAGAGGAACUUCGAGCCAAACAAUUGCCCCCAUCCUCUCCCAGGAUAAGCGGUGGGUUCACCAAGAGGCAAUCGUCCUCUUGCUCCAACUCACCCGUUAAAGGGGUCCAGAACGUCAACAGCAGCCCCAGCAAUAAGAUUAUAACUACUCCCAGACCUCCCGCCCCUCGCUCCCCCUCCAUAGGAAAAGGCAGACUUCUGCCCCCAGUCACCUCGGGGGGUCGACGUUCACCUCACUCGACUCCCCGCAACUCUCACCAUCACGCUGCCCGUUCCCCUCGGACGCCCCAGGGCUCCUAUGGGGCUCCUCGCUCUGCUGGGAGAGGCCCCCAGAGGAGCUGGUCUGGCCUGGAGCGCCAGCUGCCUGAAGAGGAAGGACUGGACUUUGGCUUCCAGAUGCUGCCAACCCUGGACCCCCAGAGGGAGCAGGACCUGUAUCGCAGCUUUGAGGCUGAGCUUUUAGCCAAUACCCAGCAGUCUACAGGAGGGUCUAUUAGAGCCACGGGAGUAACGCUGCACGGAGCUGCGGUGCAUUCAGUGUCAGCACCCAUUGAUCCCAAUGUCAAUGACUCUGCCUAUUCCUCCUCUAACUCCUCCUCCUCAUCCCUCAAUGUGGGGGCAAAGAUUGGAACACUGCCUGACCUCAGGGAAUCCAAGAGAACUAAUCCCCGACCCUUUCCAUCCGAGGACCCCUUAAAUUUACUUUAUGGGCAUAAUUUUGGAAGUUCACACAACUUUGGUCAAGGAGAGCCUGAGCACUGGAGGGAUCGAGGAGGGGGUCUCAAAAAGCUCCCGGCCAUCUCUAGCUCCGACGAGGAGAAGGCUCCGCCAUCUUCCCUGCCUGGUCUUGGUGAACCAGACAGAUUUAUGAAUCAGGUCCCCACGCGACCUGCUUUCCACUGUAGGAAUAUGAAUGGGGACCAUGGAGGUUGUCCUCCCACGGGGGGGGCUGGCGGCUCAGCAGAGUCAGCUUGGCUGGGGCACAUUGCCCAAAGGAGAUGUUCCUCUGGAGAAUCACAAGCCGAGCCUACCUUACGGCCUAGAAAAUGGGGAUGGCGGUGA